GAUGAACGCUGGCGGCGUGCCUAAUACAUGCAAGUCGAGCGAACGGACGAGAAGCUUGCUUCUCUGAUGUUAGCGGCGGACGGGUGAGUAACACGUGGAUAACCUACCUAUAAGACUGGGAUAACUUCGGGAAACCGGAGCUAAUACCGGAUAAUAUUUUGAACCGCAUGGUUCAAAAGUGAAAGACGGUCUUGCUGUCACUUAUAGAUGGAUCCGCGCUGCAUUAGCUAGUUGGUAAGGUAACGGCUUACCAAGGCAACGAUGCAUAGCCGACCUGAGAGGGUGAUCGGCCACACUGGAACUGAGACACGGUCCAGAAUCCUAAGGGAGGCAGCAGUAGGGAAACUUCCGCAAUGGGCGAAAGCCUGACGGAGCAACGACGCGUGAGUGAUGAAGGUCUUCGGAUCGUAAAACUCUGUUAUUAGGGAAGAACAUAUGUGUAAGUAACUGUGCACAUCUUGACGGUACCUAAUCAGAAAGCCACGGCUAACUACGUG
rnacentral:rRNA from 1 species